rnacentral:rRNA from 1 species
GAUGAACGCUAGCGGCAGGCUUAAUACAUGCAAGUCGAGGGGCAGCACAGAUAGCAAUAUUGGGUGGCGACCGGCAAACGGGUGCGGAACACGUACACAACGUUCCUUUUAGUGUGGGAUAGCCCAGAGAAAUUUGGAUUAAUACCACAUAGUAUAUUUGAGUGGCAUCACUUUGAUAUUAAAGAUUUAUCGCUAAAAGAUGGGUGUGUGUAUAAUUAGGUAGAUGGUAGAGGUAACGGCUCACCAAGCGUUCGAUCAUUAACUGGUGUGCGAGCACGACCAGCCCCACGGGCACUGGGACACGGGCCCGACUCCUACGGGAGGCAGCAGUAAGGAAUAUUGGUCAAUUGACGGAAGUGUGAACCAGCCAUGCCGCGUGAAGGAUGACGGCCCUCUGGGUUGUAAACUUCUUUUAUGUGGGACGAAAAAGGGCCAUUUUUGGUCAACUGACGGUACCAUAGGAAUAAGCACCGGCUAACUCCGUGCCAGCAGCCGCAGUAA